rnacentral:lncRNA from 1 species
CUCCCUCUAUCCCACAGGCACGGCUCUUCAUAGCCACACUCCAACUGAGUACAGUGCCCAGCACAUGGCUAAUACUCCAUAAAUAUUUACUGCAUGAAUAAAAGAUCGAAAGAGGGGACUCCCGAGUCUCUUCUGGACAUGGUGAUCCUUCCCUCACAGCAUGUACUAUGCUCAGCUCCUCCCUCCCUCUUGGGCCAGUCUUCAAAUGAGUAAGAGUCACAGAAAUAGUCAGCUAAAAGAAGAUGGCCUUCAUCAUGACUGUAAAGAUGUGGGAUAAGCCCAGUCAGGUCCUUGAAAGUGGCUGAGCCCAACUGAAAUGGAUGCAGACAGUAGUUGGAAGAAAGUAACAAGGCUGGCCUUGAAUUCACAGUGACCUGCCAGUCUCUGCCUCCUGUGUGCUGGGAUGAAGAGUCUAUGCCACCAUGUAAACACCUGUCUUCAGGUGCUCACUCAUUAAAGAAGAGGAGAAAGCAGCCCCACAGUCCAAAGUUCUUUAACAAAAAUUAAACAUACGGAGAAAGAAGAA